ACUACCCUCCGUCACGCAAAAAUUGUAUCAAGAGAAACGUGGUGGUCCCAUGAGCGCUAGAAGAUCUUAGAAAGCAUCGAAUUCUACGAAUCAAUUCCUACAUGUUACGAGAGAACGCCCAUUCCAAUGCACACAGGCUUCAAUAGGAAACCACCGCCAGCUUCAGUUGCACCAACAGCAGGAACAGGUACAGCUAGUCAUUCUAAUGUGGUUCCUCUGUUGUCAUCUGCAGGCGCAAAAGGUUUUUCAGGUCUGCUCAGUGGUGGAAGCCACGAUGGUGAUGACAUAAUAGGUUCGCUUGAGGAGGAGACAUCGCACUGUAGGAUCAGCUCGAGCGGAAGAAGCUGUCUAAUAAGAAUAAUGUCGACAUCCAGAAGGUGAUUUGACACUUGAUAGUGCCAGGUCCGAUGCAAAUAUGCGAACGCUAGGAAAUAUCCAAAUUUACAGAGAAUACAAGGAAUCACUGCGUCAGCGCAAUCAGGUCCAUAUCUACCGACCCAAAGAGCAGCAAACCUAUACACGUAGCCCUAUUCCAAAAGUAAUAAAGUUUCGAUAAAACUCUUAAAUAGUUU